rnacentral:rRNA from 1 species
GGGCGAAAGCCUGAUGCAGCGACGCCGCGUGGGGGAUGAAGCUUUUCGGAGUGUAAACCCCUUUCGACCCGGACGAAUACCUCGCAAGAGGGGUGACGGUACGGGUAUAAGAAGCCCCGGCUAACUACGUGCCAGCAGCCGCGGUAAGACGUGGGGGGCCAGCGUCGCUCGGAAUUACUGGGUGUAAAGGGUUCGUAGGCGGUGUAGCAAGUCGGGAGUGAAAUCUCUGGGCUCAACCCAGAGACUGCUUCCGAAACUGCUGUGCUUGAGUGUGGGAGAGGCGCGUGGAAUUGCAGGUGUAGCGGCGAAAUGCGUAGAUAUCUGCAGGAACACCCGUGGCGAAAGCGGCGCGCUGGACCACUACUGACGCUGAGGAACGAAAGCUAGGGGAGCAAACAGGAUUAGAUACCCUGGUAGUCCUAGCCCUAAACGAUCAGGACUUGGGGUGCCGCACGUUCGUGCGUCGUCCCGGAGCUAACGCGUUAAGUCCUGCACCUGGGGAGUAC